AUGGGUGACUAUCUAGCACGGUUCAGAGAGCACGUGUAUGUAGUCUGCGCUGGUGAAUGGAAGCCCCCGCCGCAAAAAAGAAGCGGCUCUUCCCACGGCUCUGUCACCAUUGACUCUAUUUAUUAUUAUGGUAAAUCAUUGUAUCAAGAUGUCAAUCUUAGAUCUUAUUUUAGUUCGAUACGUCCACCUACGAAACUCGCCCUUGGCUUUCGUCUCGGUAGGUGUAUUAUUCUACAUUUUCCCAAAAGGACAUUCAUUCAUUUCUUUCUUCCCGGGCGAUCACCACGACUAAAACGAAAACAAGACAAGAAAUCAAGACCCGUACUACAGGAAAAGGGCUGGUGGCCGACAUUUGGGAAAGUCGGGCCGAUCGGGUGUCUUCAUUCAAGCGAGGGUACAGAGGAAGAACGAAACGAAGUGAGAGGCCGGGGGGCAGGGAAAAGAGUCGAGUCGAUCGACCGGGAGAAGCAAAACGAAAUCCGGAUUUGGCCGAAAAAGAUGCAACGUUAUGGAUACCAUGACCGAUCACCAUCGAGAAAGAAGAAUUUUGAUAAAUCACUUCGGGUGAGCGGGGCCUUCAAGCGGCCUCAAUACGCCGGGGUUGUAAAUGACAUACCUUUCCUUAUGGGAAAUGCCGCCUCCUUACUAAAAAGGAAUAGAAUCAAGUUAUUUUUACCAAAG
rnacentral:rRNA from 1 species